AUGCCACGUGACUACCGUCCUCCUCCCUCGCGGAUCAGUCCGCAUGUUCACGGUGCAUUUUUUAUGGAAUAUGUUGAGCAAACCUGGAGAAGCGUCAGCUCAAGAUAUUAUUGUUGUCAUUGCUGUGGAUCUUUACCUGAUACACUGACUUGGCUCGGGACCAGCACUCCUGCUGUUGGACAGAAAGACAUCAGUAAGUAUUUUGGUUUUCCAAUAUAUUAGCAACUGUCAGUGACAUUUAUAUUAAUCAGGCUGAACUUUAAUCAUACUUUAGAUCAGCCUGUUUUACUUGUUGUUUUAUUCGUGCUUUGGUUUGGGGAAGUUGUUUCUUUACUGAUCUUUUCCUGUCUUCUGUUGUUAGACUUGAGAUAUGACUGCACUAUGCUGUUGCUGGUGACCACAGUUAAUUCUACAAGACAUGCUGUGUAAGUAAACAAACAACAACAGUUUGGUCUGCAUUUCUUGAAAGAUCACAUCCCCCAAACUUAGUUUAGAGGGUCUACACUGUAUAUAGUGAAGUCUGCAAGUUUUCUAACAGCAAAAUCUGUUUUGUGCCCAAAAUCAUUUUGCACAUCAUUAGAAUGAAAGUUAUUGGUAAAUGGCCUGUAUUUAUAUAGCGCUUUUCUGGUCCCUAAGGACCCCAAAGCGCUUUACAUAUCCAGUCAUUCACCCAUUCAUACACACAUUCACACACUGGUGAUGGCAAGCUACGUUGUAGCCACAGCCACCCUGGGGCGCACUGACAGAGGGGAGGCCAUGUUUGCAUAGCCAUUUUUUAAAAUGAUGCUUUCAUGACAUUAUUGUGUGUUGGGUGGUGGUCAGGGUUAUCCAGACUGACAAUUUGGGACAUUGAAUGUCACCUCUCCGGUGGGGAGGGAGCCUGAGAUUGUCUAAAUUGGAGUCUGUUCUAUACCAAAUGCAGAAAAAAAUGUUUUAAGAAAGCAAUUAAGUUCAUGUUCCAAAAAAUAUGAUUGUUUGCUUGCAGGACAACAGGAGAGAUGAGUCCUCCGUCACAGAUGGUGUGGUCAGUGAAGAUGGUCGCCUGCAGGUUCAAGCUCAUUGCAUCUCCAACCCACAUCCACUGCCACUGUACUUAAGGGAAGUUAAAGACUUUCUUCUGCACUUACAUUUGGAUCACCUCGAUCCAUGACAGUCAUUCAGGCAGUAAUGCCUGGACUGGAAACAAGCAUCCUUAAAAUAAUACAACAUUCCAGCUCAUGUGUUGGAAUGGAAAACAAAUGUGUUGUUUAAAUUAGAGACUGCACUUGUGACAGAACAACAAAUAUUUUAUUUUGAUUAUAUAAGUAAUGUAAGUACAAAACAAACUUGUGGUAGGCCUAAACUUAUUUUCAGAAUAAUUACAUCUGAGACUUUGUUUCAUUGUAAGAUUAUAACAGUGAUGGCAAUAUAAUUGUUUGUUGUUCAGCAGAACAGUGUCCAGUAUGUUGGCUGUUAUACUUUGUUGUGUUUGAAAAUAAAAGUUGGGCUGAUUUUAACAUCAUUACAAAAAUUGUUGUUAAUUAUUUUUAAAAAUAUUCAUGGUACCACAAAUUGUUUUUUCAUUUAGUUGAACUUAACAUGUUUGUCAGUAGGUAAACAAUUAGUAUUGUACAGUCAGAAAUAUCAAGUUAUUGUUAAUACUGCAAGUCUGCAGUAUUAUGUCUGUUAGGACAACUAAUGUAUAAGUUGUCCUAACAGUCAUCUUAAGUAAGCUUUACUUAGUUUUUUUGAGGCAACGAGUUUCCAUAAUUUUUACUACUUAAUACUGCAGAGUUGCAGUAUUAAGUAGUAAAAAUUAUGGAAACUCGUUGCCUCAAAAAAACUAAGUAAAGCUUACUUAAGAUGACUGUUAGGACAACUUAUACAUUAGUUGUCCUAACAGUCAUCUUAAGUAAGCUUUACUUAGUUUUUUUGAGGCAACGAGUUUCCAUAAUUUUUUUGAGUUCUGGGAACUAACAAGGCUGUACAGUGUACUCAAAAUGAGUAAGUUGCCCUAACUUGGUCAUCUUACGUAAACUUGAUCCAAUUUUUUUGAGUUCUGGGAACAAAUGAGCUUGUACAGAGUACUCAAAGUAAAUAAGUUGUCCUAACUUAGUCAUUUUUAGCUAAGCUUUACUCAAUUUUUUUGAGGCAACGAGUUUCCAUAAUUUUUUUGAGUUCUGGGAACUAAUUAGAUUUUACAGUGUGUGCUCUUUAGCCCCGUGCUUUGUAGUGAUGUUCAGCAUGUUGGUUUUGCUGUCAUCAGCUUCUUCACAACCAUCAGGGAAGUUCAAAUUUUAGGUAAAACAGUAGUUAUGUCUUGUGAAACUGGAACCCACAUCAAAUUUGGAUCCUGCAAACAACUAAACAUGGGAACAAAGGUUUUCUCAUCAGUAUGCGACAUUUAAAUGCUAGUUUUUCAUGAUACCGUUGAUUAAAGAAUUAUAAGGAUGUUUCUGACAGGACAUCCAAGUAUGUUAUAUUUAACUAACAAAAAUGAAAAUAAAAACUAAUUAACUUACUGAAACAAUCAUGUAUGCUUACGAAACUGAAAUAAAAAAUAUCAAGG
ensembl:lncRNA